AUUGAACGCUAGCGGGAUGCUUUACACAUGCAAGUCGAACGAGUGGCGGACGGGUGAGUAAUAUAUCGGAACGUGCCCAGUGGCGGGGAUUAACUAGUGGAAAGAGUGGCAAAACCCGCAUACUAUGGACGCGGCGGUUAUGGGAUUAGGUAGUUGGUGGGGUAAAGGCUCACCAAGGCAACGAUCCGUAGCGGGUUUGAGAGGACGACCAGCCACACUGGGACUGAGACACGGCCCAGACUCCUACGGGAGGCAGCAGUGGGGAAUUUUGGACAAUGGGGGAAACCCUGAUCCAGCCAUCCCGCGUGUAUGAGAAGGCCUUCGGGUUGUAAAGUACUUUUGGCAGAGAAGCGGUAUCUGCAGAAUAAGCACCGGCUAACUACGUGCCAGCAGCCGCGGUAAUAC
rnacentral:rRNA from 1 species